rnacentral:misc_RNA from 1 species
CUGAGUGAGGGCCCUCUGGGUCCAACCUCCCACCCGUGUUUAUUGCACCUUGUUGCUUCGGUGCGCCCGCCUCACGGCCGGCCGGGGGCUUCUCGCCCCCGGGUCCGCGCGCACCGGAGACACUAUUGAACUCUGUCUGAAGAUUGCAGUCUGAGCAAUAAACUAAAUAAGUUA